CCUACGGGAGGCAGCAGUGGGGGAUAUUGCACAAUGGGGGGAACCCUGAUGCAGCGACGCCGCGUGGGUGAAGGAGUGCUUCGGCAUGUAAAGCCCUAUCGGCAGGGAAGAAGCAAGACGGUACCUGACUAAGAAGCCCCGGCUAACUACGUGCCAGCAGCCGCGGUAAUACGUAGGGGGCGAGCGUUAUCCGGAUUCACUGGGUGGAAAGGGAGCGUAGACGGCCAUGCAAGCCAGGGGUGAAAGCCCGGGGCCCAACCCCGGGACUGCCCUUGGAACUGCAUGGCUGGAGUGCGGGAGGGGCAGGCGGAAUGCCGGGGGUAGCGGUGAAAUGCGUAGAUAGCAGGAGGAACACCGGCGGCGAAGGCGGCCUGCUGGACCGCGACUGACGUUGAGGCUCGAAAGCGGGGGGAGCGAACAGGAUUAGAUACCCGAGUAGUC
rnacentral:rRNA from 1 species